rnacentral:lncRNA from 1 species
UCUCUUUUAGCAUAAUCAUCCAAUGUCCAAAUGUUGAAACCUUUAUAUAUAUGUAAGUAUGUACAUAUGUAUACAUACAUACAUACAUACACAGAGGUUUAAAGCAUCUUGUAAUCCUUAACCUUUACUUGAAAGUCAUUCUAGACACUCGCCUUUAAUUGCAUCCAUUUGACAUCUAAAAUUUAUAAAAGUCUACCCAUUUAACCUCUUACUUUUUACUAGAAGUUACUAAAAGUGAUCCUUCAAAGUGCCGCUUUUGGAGCGUGGGAUUUGUCAAAAUUGUCAUGGUUUUAACAACGGUGUCGUUCUGUCUCUG